CAGAUGAAGAAACUGAGGAAUAAAAAAGCGGCUGCAGGCUGAUUUCAGAUGUGGCUGAAAAAAGAAAUCUCAUCACCAGUUGGCCAACCCUUUGACCCCAUUUCUGAAGGCCAGGCAGUUCCUGAAGGGCGAUGGAGUAAUGUGAUCACUCCCAGCUGUUAAAAUUAAAAAUGAUAAAGACUGAUAUUAUAAGAGAAA